UACGGAAGGCAGCAGUGGGGAAUAUUGCACAAUGGGCGCAAGCCUGAUGCAGCCAUGCCGCGUGUAUGAAGAAGGCCUUCGGGUUGUAAAGUACUUUCAGUCGUGAGGAAGGUGUUAAGGUUAAUAACCUUAGCAAUUGACGUUAGCGACAGAAGAAGCACCGGCUAACUCCGUGCCAGCAGCCGCGGUAAUACGGAGGGUGCGAGCGUUAAUCGGAAUUACUGGGCGUAAAGGGCACGCAGGCGGUUAAUUAAGUUGGAUGUGAAAUCCCCGGGCUUAACCUGGGAAUGGCAUUCAAGACUGGUUAGCUAGAGUCUUGUAGAGGUGGGUAGAAUUCCAUGUGUAGCGGUGAAAUGCGUAGAGAUGUGGAGGAAUACCGGUGGCGAAGGCGGCCCCUGGGACAAAGACUGACGCUCAUGUGCGAAAGCGUGGGGAGCAAACAGGGAUUAGAUACC
rnacentral:rRNA from 1 species